CCUACGGGAGGCAGCAGUAGGGAAUAUUGCUCAAUGGGGGAAACCCUGAAGCAGCAAAGCCGCGUGGAGGAUGAAGGUUUUCGGAUUGUAAACUCUUUUUGUUAGAGAAGAUAAUGACGGUAUCUAACGAAUAAGCACCGUCUAACUCCGUGCCAGCAGCCGCGGUAACCCGGAGGGUGCAAGCGUUAUUCGGAAUCACCGGGCGUAAAGAGCGCGUAGGCGGGAUAGCAAGUCAGAUGUGAAAUCCUUUGGCUUAACCAUAGAACUGCAGUUGAAACUGUUAUUCUAGAGUAGGGGAGAGGUAGGUGGAAUUCUUGGUGUAGCGGUAAAAUGCGUAGAGAUCAAGAAGAAUACUGAUUGCGAAGGCGACCUGCUAGAACAUAACUGACGCUGAGGCGCGAAAGCGUGGGGAGCAAACAGGAUUAGAUACCCGAGUAGUC
rnacentral:rRNA from 1 species